rnacentral:rRNA from 1 species
UACAGAGGUCUCAAGCGUUGUUCGGAUUCAUUGGGCGUAAAGGGUGCGUAGGCGGCGCGGUAAGUCGGGUGUGAAAUCUCGGAGCUUAACUCCGAAACUGCAUUCGAUACUGCCGUGCUUGAGGACUGGAGAGGAGACUGGAAUUUACGGUGUAGCGGUGAAAUGCGUAGAUAUCGUAAGGAAGACCAGUGGCGAAGGCGGGUCUCUGGGCCGUAACUGACGCUGAGGAGCGAAAGCAUGGGGGAGCGAACAGG